rnacentral:rRNA from 1 species
ACUGAACGCUGGCGGCAUGCUUUACACAUGCAAGUCGAACGGUAACAGGGAGCUUGCUCCGCUGACGAGUGGCGAACGGGUGAGUAAUGCGUCGGAACGUGCCGAGUAGUGGGGGAUAACGCAUCGAAAGGUGUGCUAAUACCGCAUACGUACUGAGGUAGAAAGUGGGGGACCUUCGGGCCUCACGCUAUUCGAGCGGCCGACGUCUAAUUAGCUAGUUGGUGAGGUAAAGGCUCACCAAGGCGACGAUCAGUAGCGGGUCUGAGAGGAUGAUCCGCCUCACUGGGACUGAGACACGGCCCAGACUCCUACGGGAGGCAGCAGUGGGGAAUUUUGGACAAUGGGCGCAAGCCUGAUCCAGCCAUGCCGCGUGUCUGAAGAAGGCCUUCGGGUUGUAAAGGACUUUUGUCCGGGAGCAAAUGCCUGGUGUUAAUAGCAUCGGGAGCUGAGAGUACCGGAAGAAUAAGCACCGGCUAACUACGUGCCAGCCGCCGCUGUAACAC